UACGAAGGGGGCUAGCGUUGUUCGGAUUUACUGGGCGUAAAGCGCACGUAGGCGGACUAUUAAGUCAGGGGUGAAAUCCCGGGGCUCAACCCCGGAACUGCCUUUGAUACUGGUAGUCUUGAGUUCGAGAGAGGUGAGUGGAAUUCCGAGUGUAGAGGUGAAAUUCGUAGAUAUUCGGAAGAACACCAGUGGCGAAGGCGGCUCACUGGACUGGUAUUGACGCUGAUGUGCGAAAGCGUGGGGAGCAAACAGG
rnacentral:rRNA from 1 species